GACGAACGCUGGCGGCGUGCUUAACACAUGCAAGUCGAACGAAGAGCGAUGGAAGCUUGCUUCUAUCAAUCUUAGUGGCGAACGGGUGAGUAACGCGUAAUCAACCUGCCCUUCAGAGGGGGACAACAGUUGGAAACGACUGCUAAUACCGCAUACGAUCUAAUCUCGGCAUCGAGGAUAGAUGAAAGGUGGCCUCUACAUGUAAGCUAUCACUGAAGGAGGGGAUUGCGUCUGAUUAGCUAGUUGGAGGGGUAACGGCCCACCAAGGCGAUGAUCAGUAGCCGGUCUGAGAGGAUGAACGGCCACAUUGGGACUGAGACACGGCCCAGACUCCUACGGGAGGCAGCAGUGGGGAAUCUUCCGCAAUGGACGAAAGUCUGACGGAGCAACGCCGCGUGAGUGAUGACGGCCUUCGGGUUGUAAAGCUCUGUUAAUCGGGACGAAAGGCCUUCUUGCGAAUAGUUAGAAGGAUUGACGGUACCGGAAUAGAAAGCCACGGCUAACUACGUGCCAGCAGCCGCGGUAAUACGUAGGUGGCAAGCGUUGUCCGGAAUUAUUGGGCGUAAAGCGCGCGCAGGCGGAUAGGUCAGUCUGUCUUAAAAGUUCGGGGCUUAACCCCGUGAUGGGAUGGAAACCGCCAAUCUAGAGUAUCGGAGAGGAAAGUGGAAUUCCUAGUGUGGCGGUGAAAUGCGUAGAUAUUAGGAAGAACACCAGUGGCGAAGGCGACUUUCUGGACGAAAACUGACGCUGAGGCGCGAAAGCCAGGGGAGCGAACGGG
rnacentral:rRNA from 1 species